rnacentral:rRNA from 1 species
UACGUAGGCAGCGAGCGUUGUUCGGAGUUACUGGGCGUAAAGGGUGUGUAGGCGGUUCUUUUAAGUUUGGUGUGAAAUCUCCCGGCUCAACCGGGAGGGUGCGUCGAAUACUGAGGGACUCGAGUGCGGGAGAGGAAAGUGGAAUUCCUGGUGUAGCGGUGAAAUGCGUAGAUAUCAGGAGGAACACCGGUGGUGUAGACGGCUUUCUGGACCGUAACUGACGCUGAGACACGAAAGCGUGGGUAGCAAACAGG